rnacentral:rRNA from 1 species
UACGUAGGGGGGCUAGCGUUGUCCGGAAUCAUUGGGCGUAAAGCGCGUGUAGGCGGUUCGGUAAGUCCGCUGUGAAAGUCCAGGGCUCAACCCUGGAAAGCCGGUGGAUACUGUCGGGCUAGAGUCCGGAAGAGGCGAGUGGAAUUCCUGGUGUAGCGGUGGAAUGCGCAGAUAUCAGGAGGAACACCGAUGGCGAAGGCAGCUCGCUGGGACGGUACUGACGCUGAGGCGCGAAAGCGUGGGGAGCGAACAGG